rnacentral:pre_miRNA from 1 species
CGAUGAUGACGAUGAUGAUGAUGAUGAUGAUGAUGAUGAUGAUGAUGACGAUGAUGAUGAUCGUCGUCGUCGUCGUCGUCGUCUUCAUCGUAGCCG